GACGAACGCUGGCGGCGUGCUUAACACAUGCAAGUCGAGCGGUAAGGCCCUUUCGGGGGGUACACGAGCGGCGAACGGGUGAGUAACACGUGGGUGACCUGCCUUUAGCUCUGGGGAUAAGCCUGGGAAACUGGGUCUAAUACCGGAUAUGACCCUAUGGCGCAUGUUGUGGGGUGGAAAGCCUUGUGCGGCUAGGGAUGGGCCCGCGGCCUAUCAGCUUGUUGGUGGGGUGAUGGCCUACCAAGGCGACGACGGGUAGCCGGCCUGAGAGGCGACCGGCCACACUGGGACUGAGACACGGCCCAGACUCCUACGGGAGGCAGCAGUGGGGAAUCUUGCGCAAUGGGCGAAAGCCUGACGCAGCGACGCCGCGU
rnacentral:rRNA from 1 species